UAAGGAUUUGAGAACAUGAGAACAAACAAACAGGAAUAUGCAGGAAAUCAUUGAGGACACAGGAGAUGAAGUCAACCUGUGGCCAAGGGAGAGGGAGGGACAUGAGAAGCUUUGUGAAAGAUGUCAGCACAAACCUCAGGUUUCUGUAUCCAGUGAAAAUAUCAUUUAAAGAUAAACAUGAAAUAAAUGUUUCCAGCUGGACUACACUAUGUAAAAAUGAAGUUAUUUAGGAUGAAGAAUAAUGACACCACAUAAUCAUAUUUUCAGUAAAAAUG
rnacentral:lncRNA from 1 species